rnacentral:rRNA from 1 species
AUGGGAACGCGAAGAACCUUACCUAGACUUGACAUCUCCUGAAUAGUGUAGAGAUACAUGAAGCCCUUCGGGGCAGGAAGACAGGUGGUGCAUGGUUGUCGUCAGCUCGUGUUGUGAAAUGUUGGGUUAAGUCCCGCAACGAGCGCAACCCUUAUCCUUUGUUGCCAGCGGUCCGGCCGGGAACUCAAAGGAGACUGCCAGUGAUAAACUGGAGGAAGGUGGGGAUGACGUCAAGUCAUCAUGGCCCUUACGAGUAGGGCUACACACGUGCUACAAUGGCGCAUACAAAGAGAAGCGACCUCGCGAGAGCAAGCGGACCUCAUAAAGUGCGUCGUAGUCCGGAUUGGAGUCCGCAACUCGACUCCAUGAAGUCGGAAUCGCUAGUAA